AUUGAACGCUGGCGGCAUGCUUUACACAUGCAAGUCGAACGGCAGCGCGGGCUUCGGCCUGGCGGCGAGUGGCGAACGGGUGAGUAAUGCAUCGGAACGUGCCCAGUAGUGGGGGAUAGCCCGGCGAAAGCCGGAUUAAUACCGCAUACGACCUGAGGGUGAAAGCGGGGGACCGAAAGGCCUCGCGCUAUUGGAGCGGCCGAUGUCGGAUUAGCUAGUUGGUGGGGUAAAGGCUUGCCAAGGCGACGAUCCGUAGCUGGUCUGAGAGGACGACCAGCCGCACUGGGACUGAGACACGGCCCAGACUCCUACGGGAGGCAGCAGUGGGGAAUUUUGGACAAUGGGGGCAACCCUGAUCCAGCCAUGCCGCGUGCGGGAAGAAGGCCUUCGGGUUGUAAACCGCUUUUGUUCGGGAAGAAAUCCUCUGGGCUAAUACCCCGGGGGGAUGACGGUACCGGAAGAAUAAGCACCGGCUAACUACGUG
rnacentral:rRNA from 1 species